GACAGAGGAUGCAAGCGUUGUCCGGAAUUAUUGGGCGUAAAGAGCUCGUAGGCGGUUUGUCGCGUCUGCUGUGAAAACCCGAGGCUCAACCUCGGGCCUGCAGUGGGUACGGGCAGACUAGAGUGCGGUAGGGGAGAUUGGAAUUCCUGGUGUAGCGGUGGAAUGCGCAGAUAUCAGGAGGAACACCGAUGGCGAAGGCAGGUCUCUGGGCAUUAACUGACGCUGAGGAGCGAAAGCAUGGGGAGCGAACAGG
rnacentral:rRNA from 1 species